GUGAGGAAUAUUGCGCAAUGGAGGCAACUCUGACGCAGCCAUGCCGCGUGCAGGAAGAAGGCGCUACGCGUUGUAAACUGCUUUUAACCGGGAAGAAACCCCAGGACGUGUCCUGGGUUGACGGUACCGGAGGAAUAAGCACCGGCUAACUUCGUGCCAGCAGCCGCGGUAAUACGAAGGGUGCAAGCGUUAUCCGGAUUCAUUGGGUUUAAAGGGUGCGUAGGCGGAGCGUUAAGUCAGUGGUGGAAUCCUGCAGCUUAACUGUAGACUUGCCAUUGAUACUGGCGCUCUUGAGUGCGCUUGAAGUGGGCGGAAUGUGCCGUGUAGCGGUGAAAUGCUUAGAUAUGGCACAGAACACCAAUUGCGAAGGCAGCUCACUAAGGCGAUACUGACGCUGAGGCACGAAAGCGUGGGGAUCGAACAGGAUUUGAUACCCCAGUAGUCC
rnacentral:rRNA from 1 species